UGCCUAAUGUCUUCUUCCUUUGCACAAAAAUGUUUCAGGCCCACACAUGGCCCCCACAGAACUGAUUCCCACCUCUACAGCAGGCAUUUUGAAUGAACCACCUCAGGAUGUAACUGACCCUCGGAGAAGAAGGCAUUUUAAAGAGAUACGUGUGUCCUUCCUUCCUUCCGUUUGUCUAUCAGAUAGUUAAAGCAGUGAACCCCAAGAAACUGUAAUUCCUCAAGAGUCCCACGAUGGGGAAAGAAAAUACCCAAAGCUUGGACGAGUUAGAGAGGACACAAAGGGAUUUACAACUUAGAGAUGAUGGGUCAGUGGUGGGCAGGACCAAACCUUAACCAGGACUAGUUAGGUGUGUAUAACAUUGACUGUCUACUUGAACUUCAACCUCACUUCAGGACUCCAAAGAUAGACUCGAGGAAGGUCACUGGAUCUGUUUGUUUUCUUUCCUAAUGUGGCCACCUAGAAUAGAUUUCUUUCCUGUUUUUUUUUUUAAAACUAUUAAUUUGGCUGUUUAAAUUAGUUUGUGGAGGAUGGGUAUCUGAAGUUGGCUUGUUGGGACACAGGCUGUGACCCUAAGAAUGCAGCCGUUACACCAGACAUAGGUCAGGGUCUUAUGUCAUUGAGCACAUGGUGCAAGGGGUCAUAGCUCAAGCCAGUAACCGUGACUUCAGAAAAGAAUGGCGGUGUUUACUGGGCACCCAUACCACACAGCCAUGGUCUAUCUCAUCCUCCUUUCUAUUCUCUUGGAGGAAGCAGGUGACUUCCGGGAGGAGCUGGUGACUCAUGAGUUCAGCCUGGAUCAGCAGUAGCUGAGCUGUGACCUCCAGUUUAACCUUCCGUAAGGAGUGACACGCCCCCUUGCCAGGGACACAGAAUGAAUCCUGAGAUUUUGGCCUUGAAACUGGAAUUACAAUGAGUUCUUUGAUUUACCUGAUACGGGUGCUUAAAAUUGAACCCUGGUCCUCUGGGAGAGCAAUUAGACACACUUCACUUCUAGGCCACCUCUCCAGCCCCUGUUUGGAGUUUUUAAUUGGUAUCUCUCCUCCUGCCUGAAUUCUCCAUCAGACACUGCUUCAGGAGAAUUAUGCAUGGCCACACUUGACCGGCUUUCGAAGGGCCUCCUCAGUAGAAGAUUGUGUAUUUCGCUUGCCCACACACACACUGGAUGAUCUGAGGCUAGGAGUGUCUUCUGUUUUAGCCUGGGCUGACCUGGGCCUUGAGCACCAAACCCUCAGAGAUGGGACAAACUUUCUUUCUGGUUCCUUUGCAAGAAUGGAACCCCUUGGAAUCGGCCUGCGUAUGACCGUGAGCUUGGAGUCCUGCCCGUGUCAGGUCACCGCAGACCUUCAUGCUCACCGGCAGGGAAAGCAUAGAUGCUUCUUGUCGUCAGCCACUGAGACUUUGAGGUGGUUGGUAACACUCCAAGCAAACAGACUAAUCCGAAAGUAAGGCCCGUCUUGUUUUUGUUUUUAUUAAGUUAACAUUCACUCUUCAUCUUCGUUUUGUGGAUGGUCUUCUUGAGGGAAAUAGUAAUGUGUCUCUGACCUUUUCCCAUCCUCAGCACGUUUCUGGGGCAUCUCCCAGCAUGCCAGUUGCGUAAUGCAAAAAGCUGGGCAGCCUCUUUCUCACAUCUGCCUGACAGGAAAAUAAAUUAGAACCACGAUACUCCCUCCCCUGCCAAAGUCCCAGGGAAGCCCUGAGGCUGCACAGAAAAUUGGGUGGCCUUUGUCACGAGCCAAGCCAGACCACUAGCUCCAUGUAGAAUCUGAGAAUUUUAAAGAUUUUUUUUUUAAUCAAGAUUGCCCCUCAGUGAAGACCCUGUUCCCACACAAUUGAGCUCAAACGUUUUUUUUUAAACUAGCAAACAAUUCAUGCGACAUUGUCCACACUGCCCUCCAGGUGGCAGUAGAGAACCGCUGCCUGCCCAGCACACUGACGUCACCUUGUUUACCCGGUUUCGGGUCAUUUUUAGAUCUAAGAUCACAGGAUGUUAAUCAGGCCAAUGAUUUCCCAUUCGUUUGGCCAAAGGCCCUUGUCAUGGGCAUUGGGACAAGUAUGAUGUCCUUUUAGAUAAAGACAUUUUUGCUGCGGGAAGUACUUAUUUGAAAACAUUUGUAAUUUCAUCUUUAGGAGAUGGGAAAAUUGUGCAUGGAUCUGUACUGUGGCCAUUUGGGGUCACUUUCAUUUUGGAGCUGGAAUGUGAGUGGCCUUAACUGAAGAGAGGCAGAAAACUACAUAUUACAAUAGCGUGCCUUCUCAGAGACGCAGGCGUCUUUCUGCUUCAGUCUUCCCCUUUAUUUAUAUAGGAUUCAGCAAGAAAGCAUUUAGGUUUUGAAGUUUGGAGGGAAAGGAGUAAGAGCUAAUUUAGUCUAGCUGUCUCCUGAUUCCUGAUUCUCCUGAUGCCACCCUGGAGUUUAGGUGUCAGGAGGUCCCUGCAGGCCGCACCCAGGAGCCUCAGACUGUCCGUUUCCAACAAUGUGGCUGAGAGUUUCUCUGUGACUGUUAAAGAAGCAAAAUAAACAAAAUUCCUCAGA
rnacentral:sRNA from 1 species